GACGAACGCUGGCGGCGUGCUUAACACAUGCAAGUCGAACGGAAAGGCCCUGCUUUUGUGGGGUGCUCGAGUGGCGAACGGGUGAAUAACACGUGAGUAACCUGCCCUUGACUUUGGGAUAACUUCAGGAAACUGGGGCUAAUACCGGAUAGGAGCUCCUGCUGCAUGGUGGGGUUGGAAAGUUUCGGCGGUUGGGGAUGGACUCGCGGCUUAUCAGCUUGUUGGUGGGGUAGUGGCUUACCAAGGCUUUGACGGGUAGCCGGCCUGAGAGGGUGACCGGCCACAUUGGGACUGAGAUACGGCCCUU
rnacentral:rRNA from 1 species